AAGAUUAUUUCUUGUUCUUUCAGCUCCGUGAAAUUCGCGCCUCCUCCCUGGCCUCAAGGGCUUCACGCGGGUCCUGGUUUCAUGGCCUUGCAGAGGCCCGUGUUCUCAUUAAGAUGCUGCCUCAUCACCAGCCUUUCUGUGAUGUACACGGAGAUAUAAAACCUCCGACUCGCUUCCAAGUCAGCCUCGCUGACCCGCCCUGGACGGCGUCCGGAGCACAGUGACGUGGCCCCCGAGUUCUGCUUGUGUUUUAUGGGCUGCCGCAGCACAGAACUGUCUAAGGCUACAGAGGGUCUAGGUCUCUGUAAGGUUGAAGGAAGAAGAAGGAGAAGAAAAAAAGCCCCAAACAAAUGGAACACUCAUUCCGGCCAUUGCGGGAUAUCGCACCAGAUCUUUUACUGGUGAAUUAUUAAUAAAGCCUGUUUUUGUUUAAUGCCUGC
rnacentral:lncRNA from 1 species